GGAUCAGUGGCGAACGGGUGAGUAACACGUGGGCAAUCUGCCCUGCACUCUGGGACAAGCCCUGGAAACGGGGUCUAAUACCGGAUAACACCUUCUCCCGCAUGGGGGUUGGUUAAAAGCUCCGGCGGUGCAGGAUGAGCCCGCGGCCUAUCAGCUUGUUGGUGGGGUAAUGGCCUACCAAGGCGACGACGGGUAGCCGGCCUGAGAGGGCGACCGGCCACACUGGGACUGAGACACGGCCCAGACUCCUACGGGAGGCAGCAGUGGGGAAUAUUGCACAAUGGGCGAAAGCCUGAUGCAGCGACGCCGCGUGAGGGAUGACGGCCUUCGGGUUGUAAACCUCUUUCAGCAGGGAAGAAGCGCAAGUGACGGUACCUGCAGAAGAAGCACCGGCUAACUACGUGCCAGCAGCCGCGGUAAUACGUAGGGUGCGAGCGUUGUCCGGAAUUAUUGGGCGUAAAGAGCUCGUAGGCGGUCUGUCGCGUCGGAUGUGAAAGCCCGGGGCUUAACCCCGGGUCUGCAUUCGAUACGGGCAGACUAGAGUGUGGUAGGGGAGAUCGGAAUUCCUGGUGUAGCGGUGAAAUGCGCAGAUAUCAGGAGGAACACCGGUGGCGAAGGCGGAUCUCUGGGCCAUUACUGACGCUGAGGAGCGAAAGCGUGGGGAGCGAACAGGAUUAGAUACCCUGGUAGUCCACGCCGUAAACGUUGGGAACUAGGUGUUGGCGACAUUCCACGUCGUCGGUGCCGCAGC
rnacentral:rRNA from 1 species